GAUGAACGCUGGCGGCGUGCUUAACACAUGCAAGUCGAACGGAAAGGCCCAAGCUUGCUUGGGUACUCGAGUGGCGAACGGGUGAGUAACACGUGGGCGAUCUGCCCUGCACUUUGGGAUAAGCCUGGGAAACUGGGCCUAAUACCGGAUAGGACCACAUUUUGGAUGGUGUGGUGGAAAGUUUUUCGGUGUGGGAUGAGCUCGCGGCCUAUCAGCGUGUUGGUGGGGUAAUGGCCUACCAAGGCGUCGACGGGUAGCCGGCCUGUGAGGGUGUACGGCCACAUUGGGACUGAGGUACGGCCCAGGCGCCGACGGGAGGCAGCAGGGGGGAAGAUUGCACAAGGGGCGCCAGCCUGAUGCAGCGACGCCGCGGGGGGGAUGACGGCCUUCGGGUUGUAGAAUCCUUUCGCUAGGGACGAAGCGUUAUGUGACGGUACCUGGAGAAGAAGCACCGGCUAACUACGUG
rnacentral:rRNA from 1 species